GCACGUGCGUCAAAGCGGCCUCUGGCCCGGUUUUCCGGGGGGGAGGCGAGCCAGCUCUGUUCAGUCCCUCCGCUUUGACUUCGCGCCUCCGCGGCGCGUCGGCGUCGGCGAGCGCGGGCACUGAGGUGCAUGCGGGGCGUCCGGUGCGCGAGGCAGGCCGCGGUCGCGCUCGCAAAGUCGAGGCCGGAGCCGAGGCGGCGCUCGGUGCGGUGCGCAGGGGGGACAGUGCUGUACACAGGACGGCCCUCCCGCCGCAGAGCAGCGCACAGGCGCGAAGGGUUUGAUCGGGAGGGGGAGAGAGCGUGGAGCUUUCGUUUUCCCGUCCCGCCUCCCGGGGCCUCUGCUCGUUUAAUAAAAACAACGCUGCCUCGCAGAGGAAGGAGGAGAGGCACGCUCCGUCGCCGCUCGUCUCGUCUGGCCUUGUCGUGUAGUGGCCGAGAUGCAGUUACCGCAGGUGGAGGGAGGUUCCGACGCGUUAGGAGCAUUCGGCGCGGUCAGAGGAGGAUACGAAAGCAAAGAGAGAGCGAAGCGACCGGAAUUAACACGAACCAAGGACUGACAGGGAGGGGCGCCGCCGUCCGAGAAGAGACUGCUCGCGCCCUAGCUCGAAGGAGACUGGGUUCGUUGCUGAGGCAGGCCCUCGAAGGAGACAGGUCACUGGUCAAGCACCGAAGCGGCCGCUACCUCCGGAUGAGCUCCCUGGACGACGCGCCGCAGCCGCCCCCUCCGCUCUGGCCAGCGCCGCUCCUCUUCGGCGCCGCGGACCUAAGCGUCCGGCUCCUCCAGCUCGAAUCGGAGCCGGACAGCGAGCCCCCCGCUAAGCCCGUCCUCUCCUCCUCCCCGCUCCCCGAGCGGUCCAGGAGCAGGCAGCGGACGUAGGUCGUCCACCGCGGCCGCGGCGGGCGCGAGGGGUCCUGUUCGAGGGACGGCGGAUACCGCCUCCGCCUCCGCCCCUUGUUGCGGCGAAGCGGAUCCUCGCCGCGACUCCAGGUUGGCGUCCCCUCACCACAGCGAGACUUGCCGCAGCACCAUCUCGGGCGUCGAAACGGUGCCCGCUCCAACUCGGGGGGCAGGUGUCCGAGCAGCCCGCCGCAUCCCUUCGACGCCCGCUCGCACUCGGGGGGCAGGUGUCCGAGCAGCCUGCCGCUUCCUUAGGAGCACUCCUGUUCAAGUGAGGGACGACCGUAGCUCCUGCCCACCUCCUUCUCCUUCGAUCGUCUUUGAGACUUGUUUGAGCUUUACUUCUCCUCAUAGCUGUCCUACUUGAGAAGGUUGCAAAGACAUCCCCUUCAACCUCUCUUGGGUCUACUUUACUCACUCGUCCGUCCUCCUUUCCGUUGUCAUGUUUCUUACUUGGCAUGGUUACACUCCGCAGCGAACUCACCCGAAGGAGGUGGUAUAGUCGGAGGUCGACGUAGUGUUCCAGGCUUUUCCUUAAGUCGAAACUUUCCUUGAGGACCGUGAGAUCCCGCCUCGGACAGUAGCCGACAAGACGGGAGCAGACACCCACGUUUGUCGUCGCGGCACCGUUGGAGAAGUAGAAGUCGUAACCGCCACUCUCGUCGUCGGGGACCGUAGAGGUAUCCCCUCGUCUUCCUACCAAGCCUUACCGGCCGCCGUUCUCGAUGAUCCUGAUCCUCGCACCGUCUGUACCACGCCUUCUACGGUCACCACAUGUGGUCGCCCGAGGCGUUGCCGCUCUCCUAGCUGCCGAAGGACAUGGUCAUGUCGUCUCGACUCCUCCACUCCUAACACACACACACGGUACCAUCGAAGGACUGAGGCCGCCUCAAACACCGCGUACGACCUCCGCCGCUUCAGCGGGUGGGCUACUCCGUGUAGCAGCACUUGGGGGGCAGCAGAAGCGAGAUCUGGCCGCGCGCGUACGUACGUCCACCACGUUCACGAGGCGCACACCGAAGUCGUCGGGAUUCGAAUCGAACCUUGAUCUUUAGAGUAGCACUCUGACGUAAAAUACAAAAUGUCUGACGUGUAGUGUCAUGAAUGAAUAAUAGGAUUUGACUUCUGUACCACCCUCUAAACGAGGAUGUCUGUUGAUUUAUCGUUUGUAUACUGUCUAACUUGUAGUGAGCAACAAGACCACUAGUAGUGAACAAAGGAC
rnacentral:rRNA from 1 species